rnacentral:rRNA from 1 species
AUUGAACGCUGGCGGCAUGCCUAACACAUGCAAGUCGAACGAGUGGCGGACGGGUGAGUAAUUUCUUGGAACCUGCCUGAUGGAGGCGGAUAAUUACUGGAAACGUUAGCUAAUACCGCAUACAAUCCGAUCUGCCCAGAUUGGAUUCGCUAGCAGGUGGGGUAAAGGCUCACCUAGGCGACGAUCCCUAGCUGGUCUGAGAGGAUGACCAGCCACACUGGAAAUGAGAAACGGUCAAGACUCCUACGGGAGGCAGCAGUAGGGAAUAUGGCACAAUGGGCGCAAGCCUGAUGGAGCAAUGCCGCGUGUAUGAAGAAGGCCUUCGGGUUGUAAAGUACUUUUAGCGGAGAGGCGGUACCCGAAGAAAAAGCAACGGCUAACUACGUGCCAGCAGCCGCGGUAAUUC